GGGGAUGUUCCGGUUUCGACUGGUACGAUCUGGGGUGUGGGCUGCAGGUGGAGUGCCGACCUCCUAACAUUCGGCAAAAACAUUAAUUGCCAACAAUAGCAAUUACGAUUACGCCUUAGCGGCAUAACCGCGUGGGACCGUUCCGCCGCCUUGAGGGACGAAUCCUGCGUAGCAAUCAGGGCUGGUCAAGUAGCGGUUCCGAACGCUAUGCGAUGAGAUUAGCCGGAAUACGGAUGCUCCGCCUGCCGCGAAGCCAAGGGCAUCCCGACAAUUUAAUCCGUGGCUAAACCUGUAGAUGCUCUCAUCACACGCACUAGGACGCGGGUUCAACUCCCGCCAUCUCCA
rnacentral:tmRNA from 1 species